rnacentral:rRNA from 1 species
ACUUAAAUUGAAGAGUUUGAUCAUGGCUCAGAUUGAACGCUGGCGGCAGGCCUAACACAUGCAAGUCGAACGGUAGCACAGAGAGCUUGCUCUCGGGUGACGAGUGGCGGACGGGUGAGUAAUGUCUGGGAAACUGCCUGAUGGAGGGGGAUAACUACUGGAAACGGUGGCUAAUACCGCAUAACGUCGCAAGACCAAAGAGGGGGACCUUCGGGCCUCUUGCCAUCAGAUGUGCCCAGAUGGGAUUAGCUUGUUGGUGAGGUAACGGCUCACCAAGGCGACGAUCCCUAGCUGGUCUGAGAGGAUGACCAGCCACACUGGAACUGAGACACGGUCCAGACUCCUACGGGAGGCAGCAGUGGGGAAUAUUGCACAAUGGGCGCAAGCCUGAUGCAGCCAUGCCGCGUGUAUGAAGAAGGCCUUCGGGUUGUAAAGUACUUUCAGCGGGGAGGAAGGUGUUGUGGUUAAUAACCACAGCAAUUGACGUUACCCGCAGAAGAAGCACCGGCUAACUCCGUGCCAGCAGCCGCGGUAAUACGGAGGGUGCAAGCGUUAAUCGGAAUUACUGGGCGUAAAGCGCACGCAGGCGGUCUGUCAAGUCGGAUGUGAAAUCCCCGGGCUCAACCUGGGAACUGCAUUCGAAACUGGCAGGCUUGAGUCUUGUAGAGGGGGGUAGAAUUCCAGGUGUAGCGGUGAAAUGCGUAGAGAUCUGGAGGAAUACCGGUGGCGAAGGCGGCCCCCUGGACAAAGACUGACGCUCAGGUGCGAAAGCGUGGGGAGCAAACAGGAUUAGAUACCCUGGUAGUCCACGCCGUAAACGAUGUCUACUUGGAGGUUGUGCCCUUGAGGCGUGGCUUCCGGAGCUAACGCGUUAAGUAGACCGCCUGGGGAGUACGGCCGCAAGGUUAAAACUCAAAUGAAUUGACGGGGGCCCGCACAAGCGGUGGAGCAUGUGGUUUAAUUCGAUGCAACGCGAAGAACCUUACCUGGUCUUGACAUCCACAGAAGAAUCCAGAGAUGGAUUUGUGCCUUCGGGAACUGUGAGACAGGUGCUGCAUGGCUGUCGUCAGCUCGUGUUGUGAAAUGUUGGGUUAAGUCCCGCAACGAGCGCAACCCUUAUCCUUUGUUGCCAGCGGUCCGGCCGGGAACUCAAAGGAGACUGCCAGUGAUAAACUGGAGGAAGGUGGGGAUGACGUCAAGUCAUCAUGGCCCUUACGACCAGGGCUACACACGUGCUACAAUGGCGCAUACAAAGAGAAGCGACCUCGCGAGAGCAAGCGGACCUCAUAAAGUGCGUCGUAGUCCGGAUUGGAGUCUGCAACUCGACUCCAUGAAGUCGGAAUCGCUAGUAAUCGUGGAUCAGAAUGCCACGGUGAAUACGUUCCCGGGCCUUGUACACACCGCCCGUCACACCAUGGGAGUGGGUUGCAAAAGAAGUAGGUAGCUUAACCUUCGGGAGGGCGCUUACCACUUUGUGAUUCAUGACUGGGGUGAAGUCGUAACAAGGUAACCGUAGGGGAACCUGCGGUUGGAUCACCUCCUUACCUUAAAGAA